CUCAAGACGGCAAGUCUGCUAAGCUGGCUAUGAACAGGCCUGAGACAUACGGAGGGCAGGAAAAGAAAGGAUAUUAGGAUAUUAUUGUGAAAGUCCUUCACAUCUAAAUCCUUCUGAAGUUUUCUUGUCAGUGAGCAAAGCCCAUUAACCACAGCAUGCCACUGCUGGCUUAUAAUUUACACAAAAAUAGCACAAAGAUUUGGAUGAAAGCCAACAUUCAGAAACUUCUGUUCCAUUUCAACAUCAGGGAGAGUUCAACAUUUUUAAAUUCACAUUAUAUAAAUUGGACUUGUACUAGUGAUGGAAGCCGCAUCUCCAUUAGGGGCUAUAAUAGAAACAUGAGCUGUUCCAUGGUCAUCCACACUGUAAUUUACUGCACCGUAAUAUCCAGGGUCUGUGUGGUAUUUUGUAAUGUAACUGACCCAGAUGCAACCAUAUUCUAAAUCAGUCAGAUGAUGGCAUGACUGGUGGUGAAGAUAUUUCGACAGAGGACCAGGAUAAAAUGCAUAACAAGAAACUUCGUAAUUUGUACUUUUUAUACAGCAUGGUUAGUCUGACUAAAUAAAGAACAAGAUGUAUGGGAGGAACAAGAACUGCACACAAUAUUUCUGCUGGAAAAUCUCAAUAAAAGAAAUUAAGGUUUGAAUGUGUAAACUGAAUUCAGAUGGUUCAGGAUAAAACAGCUGGUAAGCUUUUAUACAAAGGCUCUGAAAUUCUGUAGAUGAAUAAAGGAAUCAUGAUUGCAUUCA